rnacentral:misc_RNA from 1 species
AAGUCGUAACAAGGUUUCCGUAGGUGAACCUGCGGAAGGAUCAUUAAUGAGUUUGGAGAAUUGAUGCUGGCCUUUGUGCAUGUGCUCGUUCUCUUUAAUCCAUUCACACCUGUGCACUUGUUUCAGAGUUUAAAGGAGAAAUCUCUACUCUGCUAAUUAUACACUCUUUAAAUUUACUUUGAAUGUUUACCAAGUCGAAAGACUUUUAAAUUAAUACAACUUUUAACAACGGAUCUCUUGGCUCUC